rnacentral:SRP_RNA from 1 species
GCCGGACGCGGUGGCGCGCGCCUGUAGUCCGAGCUACUCGGGAGGCUGAGAUGGGAGGAUCGCUUGAGCCCAGGAGUUCUGGGCUGUAGUGCGCUAUGCCGAUCGGGUGUCCGCACUAAGUUCGGCAUCAAUAUGGUGACCUCCCGGGAGCGGGGGACCACCAGGUUGCCUAAGGAGGGGUGAACCGGCCCAGGUCGGAAACGGAGCAGGUCAAAACUCCCGUGCUGAGCAGUAGUGGGAUCGUGCCUGUGAAUAGCCACUGCACUCCAGCCUGAGCAACAUAGCGAGACCCCGUCUCUU